ACUGCUCAGUAACACGUGGACAACCUGCCCUUAGGACGGGGAUAAACCCGGGAAACUGGGUAUAAUACCCGAUAGGUCUCGAUUGCUGGAAUGCAUCGAGAUUUAAAGCUCCGGCGCCUAAGGAUGGGUCUGCGGCCUAUCAGGUAGUAGUGGGUGUAGCGUACCUACUAGCCUACGACGGGUACGGGUUGUGAGAGCAAGAGCCCGGAGAUGGAUUCUGAGACACGAAUCCAGGCCCUACGGGGUGCAGCAGGCGCGAAAACUUUACAAUGCUGGCAACAGCGAUAAGGGAACCUCGAGUGCCAGGUUACAAAUCUGGCUGUCGAGAUGCCUAAAAAGCAUUUCAUAGCAAGGGCCGGGCAAGACCGGUGCCAGCCGCCGCGGUAACACCGGCGGCUCGAGUGGUAACCGUUAUUAUUGGGUCUAAAGGGUCUGUAGCCGGCCGGAUAAGUCUCUUGAGAAAUCUGGCAGCUUAACUGUCAGGCUUUCAGGAGAUACUGUCUGGCUCGAGGCCGGGAGAGGUGAGAGGUACUUCAGGGGUAGGGGUGAAAUCUUGUAAUCCUUGAAGGACCACCAGUGGCGAAGGCGUCUCACCAGAACGGACCUGACGGCAAGGGACGAAAGCUAGGGGCACGAACCGGAUUAGAUACCCGGGUAGUCCUAGCCGUAAACGAUACUCGCUAGGUGCCGGCCACGGUGCGACCGUUGUCGGUGCCGUAGGGAAGCCGUGAAGCGAGCCACCUGGGAAGUACGGCCGCAAGGCUGAAACUUAAAGGAAUUGGCGGGGGAGCAC
rnacentral:rRNA from 1 species